AGGGCAGGAGGUCCUGACCUGGAGAAGGAGAGCCGCCCCCCUCCGGAUCCUGAGCCCGUGGCCCUGUCAGGGCCCGAGUCAAAGUCCUGACUUGGGAGCAUUCGUCAGCUCAAGUGCUUUCCACGAAAGUUUCCAUUCCUCCUGCCAAAUUAGGAGGCAGGGAGGGAAUUCAGCUUUCCCAGCUCAGGGGCCAGGCAGGCUUCUUGGGGGCCAUGCAGAAGGCUCCUGGAGGGUGAGAGAGGAAGUGCAGUUGCCUGGUGAGGCCAGGUCUUUGAAGAGGCCAAGAGAUGGCGUUCCCAACAGAAGAACGGCCUGAAGUUGAAAGGCCCUGGGGGUGUUAAUGUCUCUGCUUUCUCCAGAAAGAUUUAGGACGUCAAGUCGUCUGAAAAGAUUUCCUUUUUGGAGAACAAGCCCCGCUCUUUGGGGUACCGGAGGGUCUCUAAGAAGCACUGCCUGUCCCAGUUUCUACAAAGUUGGGGCCGCCUCUCUGGGAUAGGCCAGUCCAGCUCUGAAAGCUGAGCCAAGGGGCUGUUUCUGGAAGUUGGAAGAAUCAUGGUGAAACGGCACAAGUAUGGGCUGUUCAACAAUUAACCAGGCAGCGUGGAGUAUCAUCACAGAGAAUCUACGAUGUGCUACUGUGUGCUCUCUGCUAGAAACUGAAGGAAUUUAUAGCAACGAAACAGUCUACGGGCUGUGCUGAGACUUCCUAAGCAGUUUCAGAUCAGAAGGGAAGAGCCUACUAAGUCAGCUGAAGAAACCCUUGUCUGACUUAUUACAGAUGCAACCCACAGAACGCUAAUCUCAAAGGAUGACCUUGGAAAACCGACAACCUAGAAACUGCCUGCCCCCUGGCACAAUGCGGAAAGUUACAAGUUCAGAGCAAGAGGAGCAUGAUUCAUUUCGUGUUACGCAAUUCACAAAUGACCUGCAAGGAUGCUGCCACUGAAGCUGUGGGUUGCAAACAUCCUACACAGUGUUGCUGCACACCCCUGGAUUCGUCUCUCCACAAGGAAUCAACUUCAUACUUUGGGUUCUACCCCAUCGGCUGGUCACAAUCAUUCCUGCCUGAGUCCCUCCCCCCUGGACUCUGGUACUCCACUGGUCUCAUUUCCCUGCAGCCUGGGGUCUUUCCUCCACUCCACACUGGCCAGUCAGGGGCUCAGGCCUUUUGAGGUUAGGAGAAGAGGGAGA